UCUCUGUGGUUUUUAUGGUCCCUCUU
rnacentral:piRNA from 1 species